ACACUUAGUUCUCACAAACAUCUUGGUCCACAUGAAAACCCAAAACGCACUGUUAGGGCUAUCAUGAGCACGCCAAGUCAAAAACAAUAUCCUUGACACGCUAAAAUGGUCUUACCAUUCCUCUGCAAUGACCACUUAAAGUUCUCCAUUCAGAGAGACUGUGUGUGUAUUGUGUUAGCAUGUUAAAAGUCCAGUUAGCAAUGUUAACACCAGCACUGUUUGGUUACGUCUGCCAUCGCACUAAACUCAUGUAAACAAAAGUGACAGCCUCGCACUAUCAUGACAAACAGGGGAGAAAAUUGGUGAUAUUUCCCCGUCUACACAUAAACCUUAAACAGAGUUUCUGAAAAUCAUCUCCCUGGAAGGAGUUUUCCAAAAGCCUUUAGCCGACUCCUCUGGAUUUGUUUGCCGACUCCUUUUUCCCUUGCUGUGUACCAAAUAUUGGACUUCAUUAAAUAUUUAACCAUUUUGAACGCUC